rnacentral:rRNA from 1 species
UCGCAAGACCAAAGAGGGGGACCUUCGGGCCUCUUGCCAUCGGAUGUGCCCAGAUGGGAUUAGCUAGUAGGUGGGGUAACGGCUCACCUAGGCGACGAUCCCUAGCUGGUCUGAGAGGAUGACCAGCCACACUGGAACUGAGACACGGUCCAGACUCCUACGGGAGGCAGCAGUGGGGAAUAUUGCACAAUGGGCGCAAGCCUGAUGCAGCCAUGC